GGAGGAAACUCUGAUGCAGCAACGCCGCGUGGAGGAUGACGCAUUUCGGUGUGUAAACUCCUUUUAUAUGGGAAGAUAAUGACGGUACCAUAUGAAUAAGCACCGGCUAACUCCGUGCCAGCAGCCGCGGUAAUACGGAGGGUGCAAGCGUUACUCGGAAUCACUGGGCGUAAAGCGCGCGCAGGCGGCCUUUUAAGUUGGAUGUGAAAGCCUACGGCUCAACCGUAGAACUGCAUCCAAAACUAUUUGGCUAGAGUGUGGGAGAGGAAGAUGGAAUUAGUUGU
rnacentral:rRNA from 1 species